rnacentral:rRNA from 1 species
AUGCACCUAUAUAUGCGAUCCUUCAAUAUCUUCUUUACUAGGGCAGAUCUUUUGUACCCCUACAACCCUCCUCGCUCGUGGUUCGUAUUCCAUCUACUGAUUUUAUUUCUUCUCUUCAAGAAGUUUGUUGGUCCUGUUAAUCAAAUUGUUGGAUUCCUCAAACCACUGGACCAUGUGAGGCGAGAGAAGUCGAGAAGACCAAGAUCCGACAGGAAUGAUAACAUCCACAAAAGGCGGCUUCACCAUCCGAAGGGGCAAAAGGGAACCAACGCUCGGAGCACAUCGCCGUCCGUGGCCAGCACCCCGAGGAGCGAGGACGUCACCGGAGCUUGCCAAGAUCUGAAGAUCACCAGAAGGCCGAGGAAGGCCACUUAUGCGCCAUGCUCAAGUUGA